rnacentral:rRNA from 1 species
GUGAGGAAUAUUGCGCAAUGGGCGCAAGCCUGAUCCAGCAAUGCCGCGUGCAGGAAGAAGGCCUUCGGGUUGUAAACUGCUUUUGUACGGAACGAAACGGUCCUGGCUAAUAUCCGGGGCUAAUGACGGUACCGUAAGAAUAAGCACCGGCUAACUACGUGCCAGCAGCCGCGGUAAUACGUAGGGUGCGAGCGUUAAUCGGAAUUACUGGGCGUAAAGCGUGCGCAGGCGGUGCUGUAAGACAGGCGUGAAAUCCCCGGGCUCAACCUGGGAAUUGCGCUUGUGACUGCAGUGCUGGAGUGCGGCAGAGGGGGAUGGAAUUCCGCGUGUAGCAGUGAAAUGCGUAGAUAUGCGGAGGAACACCGAUGGCGAAGGCAAUCCCCUGGGCCUGCACUGACGCUCAUGCACGAAAGCGUGGGGAGCAAACAGGAUUAGAUACCCGGGUAGUCC